UACGUAGGGUGCAAGCGUUGUCCGGAAUUAUUGGGCGUAAAGAGCUCGUAGGCGGUGUGUCGCGUCGGUCGUGAAAACUUGGGGCUUAACUCUGAGCUUGCGGUCGAUACGGGCAUCACUGGAGUUCGGCAGGGGAGACUGGAAUUCCAGGUGUAGCGGUGAAAUGCGUAGAUAUCUGGAGGAAUACCGGUGGCGAAGGCGGCAUCCUGGACCGGCAUUGACGCUGAGGAGCGAAAGCCAGGGGAGCAAACGGG
rnacentral:rRNA from 1 species